GACAAAUUUCAAAGCUUUAUCGUCACUGGCACACCUUCUCUCCAAGUUCACUCAUUGCAGAUUAGAGAAACAACACCUGAUUCCAACCAAAGGACCAAAUCCUCGGUGCCCUUCCUAGUCUAUUAUCGGUGGUAAAUUUCGAAGCUUUAUUGUCACCUAUGAGACACCUCCGCUCCAGGCUGACUCGCCACUGCCAUCGAAACGACACACCACCAGAUGUUCUUCCUUCUUUGCAAUUUUUCUUGAAAGUUCAUAAAAGAAAUGCAUUCCAAAAGGUUUCAAAGAUUAAGAGGUGGUUAUGUGGUGGUGCCUGAGAAGUUGCGAAAUCAUGUCGUGCAGAUUUGACUGACUUCAAGCUGAAACCAUAUGUAUCUCAGUGCGCAAUACAAAGGGCUAAAUGAAAGGGCAGUAGAGAUUAUAUCCUUUGAUGGCCGAUACCUAACGAGACAGCUCUUUUCGUACCCCCAACCCCUCUAUUUGGUUGGUGAAUAUCAAGCGUCGUCUGCUCACUUUUGACAUGUCGAGCUCAUAACGCAGCAGUGUCGUACCGCAUGGCAAGAUGUUCGUGUAAGUUAUUGUAUUACUCGGUUGUUAACAUUUAGAGGGGUGAUGAGAAAUUGCAUCUCCAAGAGAUAUAACCUGUUGUUUUCAUUCAAACUUUAAGCUCAUCUGGGUGGUUUUCUCUGCAAAAAAUGUGGUUUCUCAAGUAUGUUGAAGAACUUAACUCAGUAUGCUGAGG